rnacentral:rRNA from 1 species
UACGUAGGGUGCAAGCGUUGUCCGGAAUCAUUGUGCGUAAAGCGCGCGUAGGUGGCUUUGUAAGUCCGUUGUGAAAGUCAAAGGCUCAACCUUUGAAUGCCGAUGGAUACUGCGGAGCUAGAGUACGGAAGAGGCGAGUGGAAUUCCUGGUGUAGCGGUGGAAUGCGCAGAUAUCGGGAGGAACACCGGUGGCGAAGGCGGUUCUCUGGGCCUGUACUGACGCUGAGGAGCGAAAGCGUGGGGAGCGAACAGG